UACGUAGGUGACCAGCGUUGUCCGGAUUUACUGGGCGUAAAGAGCGCGCAGGCGGUCGUUCAAGUCGAGUGUGAAAGCCCCCGGCUCAACUGGGGAGGGUCACUCGAUACUGAUCGACUUGAAGGCAGGAGAGGGAAGCGGAAUUCCCGGUGUAGUGGUGAAAUGCGUAGAUAUUGGGAAGAACACCAGUGGCGAAGGCGGGUCUCUGGGCCGAUACUGACGCUGAGGAGCGAAAGCGUGGGGAGCGAACAGG
rnacentral:rRNA from 1 species